UGGAGUUUCAACUCCCCACUCUCCAGCGACAUCUAAUCAAGUGCCUUGAAUCAGAUUGACAGCCAACUCCAGGAAGGAAUUUAAACUUCACCUUAUUCCUCUCUCAGCUUUGGUUGAGAUUAUGUCUAACUUAGCCUCUGAAAUCUUACAGUUUGCUUUAGUUUCUCUGUCUACACUUUCCUCUGCUGAAACCUCUUCCAUAUGUCACACCCAUGCUUUGUCUAGUGUCAUUUAUGUUGUCACUGUUCAUCUUUUUUAUACUCUUAAUAACAGUGACAUUUUUUUUUCUGCUGACAUAUAGAUGUACACUUUCUCUUGCUUUUUGUGGCAUUCUUUCGAGCAAGGCCAUCAGAGAGGCAAUGAGGCUCCACUGUUAUGGCUGUUGCCUUAUGGUGUCCCCCUGUCUCUCUUCAGUAAUGGGCAUCACACCACCAUUUUUAUAGGUUACUUCCAGAAUCUGGAGGGCAAUGAGUUAACCACCUUUAUCUACUUUCAAAUCUUCUCAUGGGGCACUAGUUGAAGAUCCCUCAUAGCUAAGAAUUAUAUUCUCAGUUGGUAUCUUUUCUUCACCAAAAUGGUAGUUAUGGUCCUUAUUCUAUAGUGACUUUGCAUGGACCCCAUGUCCCCUCACAUUUAUUAUUCCAAAGGAAAGCCAAGGAAUACAAUGAUUCUUGCUCUUUUCUAUGUCAGUAAUCCUGUUGUUAUUUUUGGACUAUCUAUGUUUCCAAUAGAGUGACACAAAAACUCUUGCUCCCCUCCCCCACUUUUCAAUGUCAUGCCCAUCCUACUCUGAUGAGGCCUUUCUAGUCAAAUGAGUCAAAACAUUACUGGCCUAGGGACCCCCAAACCACACUUCCUUCCUCUCAACAAUGUACCUAACACUCAUCUGUCAAUAUCAAAUUCUCCCACUCUCCUCUAUACCCACCAUUACCUGCUCCCAUUCCCACAACCCUAUUUUCCUCAUCAUGAGUCUGUCCCUAUUUAGCCUCCUACCAGAUUAUACACAUUACAAGAGGAAAAUGGAGAAUAUUGACUGGUAAGAAUGCAGGUACCUUUUUCUAUGCAAGAUCUAAAACAGGCCCAACAGGAUUUAGGAAGAUUUGCUGAUGACCCUGAUAAAUAUAUAGAGGGAUUCAAACUCAGGCCUUGAGGUAAUCUGGAGAGAUAUAACAAUAAUUUUGAGUCAAACUCUAACAGAGACCUCAGUUUGCUAAGGUUUGGAGGAUGAUUUAUAUUUUCCUAACACUUUAUACCUUGUGGGUCCUUCUGCUGUUCAAACUGAGCAUCCUCAUUGGAGUUAUGAUGAUUCACUUUGAAGGUGAUACAGAGAUCACCUGAUCAUUUGUCUCAAGGCAGCACUUAAAAAUAAUAGGAUGAAACCUGUUCUAUGACAUUGGCAGUGAUUGAUCAGGGGUUGGGGUGAAAUCCCAGGACUUUUGUAGAAAUAUUGAAGGAAGGCUUAGUUAAAUAUACAUUCUUAGAUCCUGCAUCUUUUGAAAGGCAACUUAUUUUAAAAGAUAUAUUUAUUCUUCAAUUUGCCCCAGAUUUUAGAAAUAACAAAAUUGGUAGCAGGCCCUGGGACUUCCCUUAAAGUUAGCCAUGCAGGUCGUUUAUGAUCAAACCAGGAGGAAACAUGAAGGGACCUAAGAAAGGAGAAAAGAGGGCCAAGAGACCAAUACAAUUAUUGACUGCAGCUCUUCAUGGCCACCCUCUUUUCUUCCCCACAGAACCCUUGAGCCUCUGUAGGUGUCUGUCAUCAUUACAGAAAGUGAGGGCACUAGAAGAAAAUCUGCCCAAUUAAGGGCAGGCUUCCAAAGACUUCUUGCCCUGUAUGUGGCAGGAGAAGCCACUGGAAAGUGAAGCACAUGCCUGAACCCCAGUGGCUGGGGAGGCUCAGGCAGGAAGAUUGUAAGUACAAAGCCAGCCUCAGCAAAGUAGCAAGGCCCCAAGCAAUUCAGGAAGACCCUGUCUUUGAAUAAAAUAUAAAAAUGUUUGGGGAUGUUGCUUAGUGGUUAGUUUCCCCUGACUUCAGUCUCUGGUAACCCCUACCAUAAAAACCAGAUUUGCAUUCCCCAAAAGAUGCUCUGUCCUCACCACCCUUGCCAUGGAGACAAGUUUUUAGCUGGGUUUUUUUAGCUUUCUGGUGGAGGAAAUUUCUGGUUUUUGGAACUGCUCAAUGUAUCUAAUAUUUCUCUGUCUCUUGGUAUAUCAAUUUUAUGGUGAUAGUUGUAUCUUGUUGUUUUUCUCAAAGGGCAUUUGCCUCUAAAUGAUUUCCUCUAUUUCAGAUAUUGAGGCCCCCUGGAUAGAGCUUAACUCAUAAUCAAGAGCAUUUCACUGACAGCAAGUAUGGGAGAUACCUACCCUUAUCAUCAGAAAAAAACUGACUUGUAGAUGAAGUCCUCUGAACAAGAAGGCCACCAUGACAGUUCUGGAGAGGACCAACUAAGGACAAAACUCCACCACCCAACACAAAGGAGGAGAACACCAUAUUGGCAAAGAGUGCUGAAGGCACACCCAGUUCUCAAGGCAACCACAAAACACCAAAAAAUUCAUAGAUAGCACUGUUUCCUGUUGUUCUUUGCUGGGAGUGCUCUUUGUUUGAGUCUUAAUUUAGUUUUACUACUAAUAAAAUUCUCUUUUCUGGUUUUCA